GGACAGAUUUAACAGAGAUACUUUACUGUGCAAAUGUUUUAGGCCACUAUUACAUUUUUAACACAGUACAACAACAAACACAGGAAGUACUGUAUGUUUACAGCAUUAACAACAACAACAAAAAGAAAAAAAUCCACAUAGUUACAAGGCCGUAUUUAACCAAUGCUUCUUAUUCAUUAAGAGCCCACAUGUAUUAGCCAAAACUGUAUGCAAAAAAAAGAGCACUGUGUUCUCAGAAAGUACACCAUUUUAAAAUAACAUGGCUACAAUUGGCAGCUACUUGGUGGGUGGAAGCAUCAAAGAAUGUCGUCUGUUUUUAAGGGUGGCAAAGGCGUCUAUCACUCUAUUGUGAUUUAGGUGCUGAAGCUCCUCUUUUUCAAUUGACAUGACUGCAAGACUGUGAAUGCCAUGACUUUCACUCACAACACAAUAAUUGUUUACUCCCAAAUAUUUUGAAGUCACACAGAAUAUAUUUUGGGCACAUAUGUGACUAAAAUGGUUGUAAUUUUAAGCCCUGAAAAAAUAUAACUUAAUUACAUAAAUUACAGUUAUAUUAAGGUACUCUUGAAAAUAUUUGGGCCAGGCUAAUUUGGCUUAUACAUCACUCUCUUGUAGGGAUGCACGAUAUAUCGGCAUUAAUAUUGGUAUCGGCCGAUGUUCGUCAUUUUUUAACAUAUCGGCAUCGGUCCAAUGAGUAAAACUGCGCCGAUUUUAACAACCGAUGUUAAUACCCGUCUAUUUGCUGUUUGUGUAUGUGUGUCGGGAAGGGGAGGCCAUGCUGCAUUUCUUUGAACAUGUUACAGUGACGCAAGUGCAGCACAAGGUGUGUGUGUGUGUGUGUGUGUGUGUGUGUGUUGAGGAGAGAUAAUGUCAGCGGUGUGGGCGUUUUUUCAGGGUGUCGAUAGAAGAUACGCGAAAAGCAUUAUGCAACACUUGCAAAGUUGAGAUAGGCCUGCAGUCAUAGGCCUAAUGACGCCACUGACUCUCCUAAAUAAAAGCUCAAGUUAAAUAAG